GGUUAAGCGACUAAGCGUACACGGUGGAUGCCCUGGCAGUCAGAGGCGAUGAAGGACGUGCUAAUCUGCGAUAAGCGUCGGUAAGGUGAUAUGAACCGUUAUAACCGGCGAUUUCCGAAUGGGGAAACCCAGUGUGAUUCGUCACACUAUCAUUAACUGAAUCCAUAGGUUAAUGAGGCGAACCGGGGGAACUGAAACAUCUAAGUACCCCGAGGAAAAGAAAUCAACCGAGAUUCCCCCAGUAGCGGCGAGCGAACGGGGAGCAGCCCAGAGCCUGAAUCAGUGUGUGUGUUAGUGGAAGCGUCUGGAAAGGCGUGCGAUACAGGGUGACAGCCCCGUACACAAAAAUGCACAUACUGUGAGCUCGAUGAGUAGGGCGGGACACGUGGUAUCCUGUCUGAAUAUGGGGGGACCAUCCUCCAAGGCUAAAUACUCCUGACUGACCGAUAGUGAACCAGUACCGUGAGGGAAAGGCGAAAAGAACCCCGGCGAGGGGAGUGAAAAAGAACCUGAAACCGUGUACGUACAAGCAGUGGGAGCACGCUUAGGCGUGUGACUGCGUACCUUUUGUAUAAUGGGUCAGCGACUUAUAUUCUGUAGCAAGGUUAACCGAAUAGGGGAGCCGAAGGGAAACCGAGUCUUAACUGGGCGUUAAGUUGCAGGGUAUAGACCCGAAACCCGGUGAUCUCAGCCAUGGGCAGGUUGAAGGUUGGGUAACACUAACUGGAGGACCGAACCGACUAAUGUUGAAAAAUUAGCGGAUGACUUGUGGCUGGGGGUGAAAGGCCAAUCAAACCGGGAGAUAGCUGGUUCUCCCCGAAAGCUAUUUAGGUAGCGCCUCGUGAAUUCAUCUCCGGGGGUAGAGCACUGUUUCGGCAAGGGGGUCAUCCCGACUUACCAACCCGAUGCAAACUGCGAAUACCGGAGAAUGUUAUCACGGGAGGCACACGGCGGGUGCUAACGUCCGUCGUGAAGAGGGAAACAACCCAGACCGCCAGCUAAGGUCCCAAAGUCAUGGUUAAGUGGGAAACGAUGUGGGAAGGCCCAGACAGCCAGGAUGUUGGCUUAGAAGCAGCCAUCAUUUAAAGAAAGCGUAAUAGCUCACUGGUCGAGUCGGCCUGCGCGGAAGAUGUAACGGGGCUAAACCAUGCACCGAAGCUGCGGCAGCGACGCUUAUGCGUUGUUGGGUAGGGGAGCGUUCUGUAAGCCUGUGAAGGUGUACUGUGAGGUAUGCUGGAGGUAUCAGAAGUGCGAAUGCUGACAUAAGUAACGAUAAAGCGGGUGAAAAGCCCGCUCGCCGGAAGACCAAGGGUUCCUGUCCAACGUUAAUCGGGGCAGGGUGAGUCGACCCCUAAGGCGAGGCCGAAAGGCGUAGUCGAUGGGAAACAGGUUAAUAUUCCUGUACUUGGUGUUACUGCGAAGGGGGGACGGAGAAGGCUAUGUUGGCCGGGCGACGGUUGUCCCGGUUUAAGCGUGUAGGCUGGUUUUCCAGGCAAAUCCGGAAAAUCAAGGCCGAGGCGUGAUGACGAGGCACUACGGUGCUGAAGCAACAAAUGCCCUGCUUCCAGGAAAAGCCUCUAAGCAUCAGGUAACAUCAAAUCGUACCCCAAACCGACACAGGUGGUCAGGUAGAGAAUACCAAGGCGCUUGAGAGAACUCGGGUGAAGGAACUAGGCAAAAUGGUGCCGUAACUUCGGGAGAAGGCACGCUGAUACGUAGGUGAAGCGACUUGCUCGUGGAGCUGAAAUCAGUCGAAGAUACCAGCUGGCUGCAACUGUUUAUUAAAAACACAGCACUGUGCAAACACGAAAGUGGACGUAUACGGUGUGACGCCUGCCCGGUGCCGGAAGGUUAAUUGAUGGGGUUAGCGCAAGCGAAGCUCUUGAUCGAAGCCCCGGUAAACGGCGGCCGUAACUAUAACGGUCCUAAGGUAGCGAAAUUCCUUGUCGGGUAAGUUCCGACCUGCACGAAUGGCGUAAUGAUGGCCAGGCUGUCUCCACCCGAGACUCAGUGAAAUUGAACUCGCUGUGAAGAUGCAGUGUACCCGCGGCAAGACGGAAAGACCCCGUGAACCUUUACUAUAGCUUGACACUGAACAUUGAGCCUUGAUGUGUAGGAUAGGUGGGAGGCUUUGAAGUGUGGACGCCAGUCUGCAUGGAGCCGACCUUGAAAUACCACCCUUUAAUGUUUGAUGUUCUAACGUGGACCCGUAAUCCGGGUUGCGGACAGUGUCUGGUGGGUAGUUUGACUGGGGCGGUCUCCUCCUAAAGAGUAACGGAGGAGCACGAAGGUUGGCUAAUCCUGGUCGGACAUCAGGAGGUUAGUGCAAUGGCAUAAGCCAGCUUGACUGCGAGCGUGACGGCGCGAGCAGGUGCGAAAGCAGGUCAUAGUGAUCCGGUGGUUCUGAAUGGAAGGGCCAUCGCUCAACGGAUAAAAGGUACUCCGGGGAUAACAGGCUGAUACCGCCCAAGAGUUCAUAUCGACGGCGGUGUUUGGCACCUCGAUGUCGGCUCAUCACAUCCUGGGGCUGAAGUAGGUCCCAAGGGUAUGGCUGUUCGCCAUUUAAAGUGGUACGCGAGCUGGGUUUAGAACGUCGUGAGACAGUUCGGUCCCUAUCUGCCGUGGGCGCUGGAGAACUGAGGGGGGCUGCUCCUAGUACGAGAGGACCGGAGUGGACGCAUCACUGGUGUUCGGGUUGUCAUGCCAAUGGCACUGCCCGGUAGCUAAAUGCGGAAGAGAUAAGUGCUGAAAGCAUCUAAGCACGAAACUUGCCCCGAGAUGAGUUCUCCCUGACCCUUUAAGGGUCCUGAAGGAACGUUGAAGACGACGACGUUGAUAGGCCGGGUGUGUAAGCGCAGCGAUGCGUUGAGCUAACCGGUACUAAUGAACCGUGAGGCUUAACCUU
rnacentral:rRNA from 1 species